rnacentral:rRNA from 1 species
GACGAACGCUGGCGGCGUGCUUAACACAUGCAAGUCGAACGGAAAGGCCCUGCGUUUGUGGGGUUCUCGAUGGGCGAACGGGGGAGUAACACGUGAGUAACCUGCCCUUGACUUUGGGGUAACUUCAGGAAACUGGGGCUAAUACCGGAUAGGAGCUCCUGCUGCAUGGUGGGGGUUGGAAAGUUUCGGCGGUUGGGGAUGGACUAGCGGGUUAUCAGCUUGUUGGUGGGGUAGUGGCUGACCAAGGCUUUGACGGGUAGCCGGCCUGAGAGGGUGACCGGCCACCUUGGUCCUGCGGUAGGGCGCAGUGUCCAACGGGAGGCAGUAGUGGGGAGUCUUGCCCAAUGGGAGGACGCCUGAUGCAGCAACGCCGCGUGCGGGAUGACGGCCUUCGGGUUGUAAACCGCUGUAGCUUGUGACGAAGCGUGAGUGACGGUAAUGGGUAAAGAAGCACCGGCUAACUACGUG